UAACCUGCCUCAUACACAUGAUAACAUACCGAAAGGUAUGCUAAUACAAGAUGAUAUAAGAGAUUCGCAUGGAUUUCUUAUCAAAGCUUUUGCGGUAUGAGAUGGACCCGCGUCUGAUUAGCUAGUUGGUAAGGUAAUGGCUUACCAAGGCGACGAUCAGUAGCCGACCUGAGAGGGUGAUCGGCCACAUUGGAACUGAGACACGGUCCAA
rnacentral:rRNA from 1 species